UACAGAGGGUGCAAGCGUUGUUCGGAAUUAUUGGGCGUAAAGCGCGUGUAGGCGGCGACGUAAGUCGGAUGUGAAAUCCCUCGGCUCAACCGAGGAAGUGCAUUCGAUACUGUGUUGCUUGAGUGUCGGAGGGGAUGGCGGAAUUCCCGGUGUAGAGGUGAAAUUCGUAGAUAUCGGGAGGAACACCUGUGGCGAAGGCGGCCAUCUGGACGACGACUGACGCUGAGACGCGAAAGCGUGGGUAGCAAACAGG
rnacentral:rRNA from 1 species